GAGGCGAACCGGGGGAACUGAAACAUCUCAGUACCCCGAGGAAAAGAAAUCAACCGAGAUUCCCCCAGUAGCGGCGAGCGAACGGGGAACAGCCCAGAACCAACAUCAGCAUCAGCGUCAGGAGAACGGUCUGGAAAGGCCGGCAGUAAAGGGUGAUAGCCCCGUAUCUGAAGACACUGGUGGUGUGAGUUCGACGAGUAGGGCGGGACACGUGGUAUCCUGUCUGAACAUGGGGGGACCAUCCUCCAAGGCUAAAUACUCCUGACUGACCGAUAGUGAACCAGUACCGUGAGGGAAAGGCGAAAAGAACCCCGGCGAGGGGAGUGAAAUAGAACCUGAAACCGUGUACGUACAAGCAGUGGGAGC
rnacentral:rRNA from 1 species